CCUAAAUUGAAAACGAUCUGUGAACCCGGCGGUGGUGGCUCACAUCUGUAGUCCCAGCACUCGGGAGGCAGAGGCAGGCGGAUCUCUGUGAAUUCGAGGCCAGCCUGCUCUACAGAGUUCCUGCACGGCCAUGGCUACUCAGAGAAACCCUGUCUCAAAAGAAAAGUGAUCGGGGCAGCGCAUUUUGAAAGGGCUGCAGUGCUCAUUCUUCAAAGUGAGCCCAGGGAGUGUGGGACUGUGCCAGCCAGACCUCGGGUAUUAAAUGAAAAGCAGCGUCUUGUGAUCCUCUUCUAAGAGAUGGAGACAGAAGAUAAUCACUGUGUGACAAUGGCGUUCACGAACCUGUUGCCGUAUUGGGACAUGGUGCUUGGGUAACUUGAAUCUGUGUCGCGAGGCCAUCAUCUCAAAAUUUGGCUCCAGAAUAAACUCUCUCCAGAAAACCACGGUGGAAG